UUCCUGGUGGCUCAGAUGGUAAAAGCGUCUGCCUGAAAUGCAGGAGACCUGGGUUCGAUCCCUGGGUAGGGAA